AAUCAACGCUGGCGGCGUGCCUCAGACAUGCAAGUCGAACGAUUAAGACUUCCUUCGGGAAGCGCAUAAAGUGGCGCACGGGUGAGUAACGCGUAAGUAAUCUACCUUUGAGUGGGGAAUAACCCGGGGAAACCCGAGCUAAUACCGCAUAAUGCAGCGGCAUCGCGAGAUGACAGUUGUUAAAGGAGCAAUCCGCUUAAAGAGGAGCUUGCGGCAGAUUAGCUAGUUGGUAAGGUAAUGGCUUACCAAGGCUACGAUCUGUAUCCGGUCUAAGAGGACGGUCGGACACACUGACACUGAAUAACGGGUCAGACUCCUACGGGAGGCAGCAGUCGGGAAUUUUGGGCAAUGGGCGAAAGCCUGACCCAGCAACGCCGCGUGAAGGAUGAAGUAUUUCGGUAUGUAAACUUCGAAAGAAUAGGAAGAAUAAAUGACGGUACUAUUUAUAAGCUCCGGCUAACUACGUGCCAGCAGCCGCAGUAAAAC
rnacentral:rRNA from 1 species